AUGCACACCAGUCUGGUAUCAAAGCGUAUCUACUUGAAAAGGAGACUACUUGAACAGAUGAAAUGGAAGGAAGAAAUGAAAGUUCGAUCUACCAACGUAGAGUCUGCCCCUCCCAGGAAGAAGAAAUUUGCUACUUUGGCUCAUCAGUUGGUAAGUCUGUCUAUGAAGUUCAGUGCCCAGAAAAGAGAAAAAAAGACCAAAACAAGCUUUUUCAAGCUCUACAAGUCCUAUAUAUAUAGUGUUCCACUAGAUAGCCGUGUUAAACUAGUCCAGUCUUGCCGAGUGGCCUUAUCUUCUGGUUACCUGGUCCGGUACUUCUACUUCGAGAGUGAGUUAGUAAACAGGAUCAACUUUAUGAUCCAUUUUGAGAAAUUGCAAUCACAGAAUCAGAACGAGUGGGUAUAG
rnacentral:rRNA from 1 species